AGAACAUACCGCUGAACAUGCAGAAUUGGGACCAAUCGGAGAUAUUUUAGCUUCAUCAUGAGGUGUGAACUCAUCAGUUUUAGUAAUACAACAACAUGACGGGUAUAGCUUCAUCAAGAGGUGUGAACUCAUCAGUUUUAGUAAAACCCGAUAUUUCCACAUUCAACAUUUUGAUUAACUGUUGUUGUAAACUAGUCCAAGUGAAUCACGGUUCUGUUUGCUUGGAGAGAUUAUUAAGAGAGGUCAUCAGCCUAAUGUUAUCACUUUCACUACAUUGAUUAAUGGGUUGUGUGUUCAAGAAAAGAUUGACUUUGCAUUCAAGGUGUUCGAGAAAAUGAUCGAGACAGGUGUUCUACCUAACUCCUUCACAUGUAAUACUCUAUACACGGGCUUUGCAGAACUGGUCGCUUGAAUGAGGCCAAGAGAUUCCUUGAAGAGAUGGGCAAUAGAGUAAUCUCUGCAGAUGCAAAGACUUAUAAUUCUAUCAUUCAUGGUUACUGCUUACAUGGUCAAUGGAAAGAAGCGAGAAGAUAUUUUGAUCAAAUGAUGGAUCGAGGGAUUAUAUGGCUAAGGGUUUGAACAAUAUCCAUAUAAUCUGAAGAAUAAAGAUAGAUGAACAUGUCUUGGCCAUGGGUUGCAGCGUUAAGUAGUUAAUCUUUUUAAAAAAUGACAGCGGAAGAUAAACGACUUGAUUCAAUGGCAGACUGCAAAUUUCAGGGCACUGAAAUCAACUUAAAAAUGGGGUACAACGAAGAGGGCGGAGAGGGAGCUUUAUCUGGUAGAAAUGAUUAGGAAAUUGUCACAUGCUGUUUCUCCUGGUCGAACAAGGUUGGAUGUCAACUAUGGUGUACGAGCAAUGAUGUUGGUGGUGAUGAAAGUGAAAUCUCUACUACAAUGUUCAUGUCUUGACACACUUCAUUUUCCAACCCAGCUAUGCCAGUAAAGCCUGAUCGCAGUGCAAUGACAUUCAGGAUUGUUUGAAUCACAAUAAAGUGUCUCUACUGGGUGUGGAGGAAGGUGAGAAUCUGACAAGUUUGAUUGAAGUAGCUGGAAUCUCAAAUGAUAAUUGGAAGUACCAGAUCCAGAAGA